UGAGUAACCUGCCCUUAACUCUGGGAUAAGCCUGGGAAACUGGGUCUAAUACCGGAUAUGACUCCUCAUCGCAUGGUGGGGGGUGGAAAGCUUUNUGUUUGGUU
rnacentral:rRNA from 1 species